AUUGAACGCUGGCGGCAGGCCUAACACAUGCAAGUCGAGCGGUAACAGGAAACAGCUUGCUGUUUCGCUGACGAGUGGCGGACGGGUGAGUAAUGUCUGGGAAACUGCCUGAUGGAGGGGGAUAACUACUGGAAACGGUAGCUAAUACCGCAUAACGUCGCAAGACCAAAGAGGGGGACCUUCGGGCCUCUUGCCAUCGGAUGUGCCCGGAUGGGAUUAGCUAGUAGGUGGGGUAACGGCUCACCUAGGCGACGAUCCCUAGCUGGUCUGAGAGGAUGACCAGCCACACUGGAACUGAGACACGGUCCAGACUCCUACGGGAGGCAGCAGUGGGGAAUAUUGCACAAUGGGCGCAAGCCUGAUGCAGCCAUGCCGCGUGUAUGAAGAAGGCCUUCGGGUUGUAAAGUACUUUCAGCGGGGAGGAAGGGAGUAAAGUUAAUACCUUUGCUCAUUGACGUUACCCGCAGAAGAAGCACCGGCUAACUCCGUG
rnacentral:rRNA from 1 species